UACGUAGGGUGCGAGCGUUGUCCGGAAUUAUUGGGCGUAAAGAGCUCGUAGGCGGUGUGUCACGUCGGCCGUGAAAACCUGCAGCUUAACUGUGGGCGUGCGGUCGAUACGGGCAUCACUGGAGUUCGGCAGGGGAGACUGGAAUUCCUGGUGUAGCGGUGAAAUGCGCAGAUAUCAGGAAGAACACCGAUGGCGAAGGCAGCUCUCUGGGACGGUACUGACGCUGAGACGCGAAAGCGUGGGGAGCGAACAGG
rnacentral:rRNA from 1 species